UGUGAAUUGAAAAUUGAUUGAAAAGUGGAAAAUGAUUGAAUUGAAAAUGUGAGAAAUUGUGACUGAAUUGAGAUUUAUAUGUGAUCCGGAAACCCUAUUAACUAGUCUGGCUGAGUCGGAUAUAGUUGGCAUGCUAUAGGAUUGGAAGUGUCCAGAGAUACUUUGACCUUGAGUUGAUGAGACAUUGGGUGUCAUACUGUUACUCCGGAUAGAUUCGAUGAGGUACUGGGUACUACUUUACUCCGGCUAGGCCGAUGAGACACUGGGUGUCAACUUUGCUUCGAACUAUCCGAUAAGGCACUGGGUGCCAAAAUGGUGUGUUUGGUUGGAUCCGUGUAUCCACCAAAGUCCGAGUCUGUUAAUAAGGGUAAUUAAAAGAAAAGUUAAGUUGAAUAAAAGGAAUUAGUUGAGCCAUUGAAAGAAAUGUGAAAAUGGAACAUGAAAUGAAAAUGUGAUUUGAAUGUGAGUAUGAUAAUAGAAAGCAUGAACCAAUGCUUUAUGAAUUAGAUAAUGGCUCAACUUGAAUGUAUAUGAUUUUAAUUGACGAAUAGCUAAAUUAAAUUGUAUGAAUAUAUUGAGAAUGGAAAAUUUAUGUUUGAAUUGGUUUAGUAAAUAUUAAAGUUAUAUGAUUUAAUUUAUAUGAUUACUAUGUUUAUAAUUUGAAUUAUGGUAAUACCACUGAGUAUGAAAUACUUAGCGUACGGUUGUUUCCAUGCGCAGGUUAAUAGAAGUCCAGUGUCCUAGUCCAACAUCCAAACGAUCCCGACUCCAGUAAAAAAAUUUUGGUAAUAUUUUCUUCCCUUAAGUGAAAAUGGCAUGUACAUAGGAAUUUUAAUGGUUAUUUUGGUAUGUUAUAUUAUUUUUGUUGUAAAGAAAGGUAUUUGGUAUUUUGAUGAUUAAAUUAAUGAAAUGAUAGAACUUGUUAUAGCAUUGAUAUUGAAUUGAAAUGGUUUGAAUAGUUUUAAGAGCUAAUUAAAAAUGAUAGUUUACUUAAGUUGUUGAGUCAAUAUGUCAAGUAUGAUUCAAGUAUAUUUGAGUAUAUAAAUGCAUUGGUUGAAAUACUGGAAUUGGUUUGGUUGCGAUUUGAAAAUUGCAGGGAAUGUUAUAUAUUUAUAAAGGGUUAUAUUGAAUUUAAAAAAAUAAAAAAAUCAAUUAGUAAAAGUUUAUAUGAAUUUAUGAUUAUUUUAUAACAUGUUUAUUAUUUAUUUAAGAAUUAUUUGUAAAUUGUCCGAUAUGUCCAAUAAUGCCUCGUAACCUUAUUUCCUUGACGAUUUAGGGUUAGGGGGUGUUACAAUGAUAACUUCUUAAACAGUUCACUGAGGAGGAUAUUGGCUAUGCUUUCAAGACGAUGACACCCUUAAAGGUCCCCAGUGUUGACGGUUUUCCCACAAUAUUUUUUCAAAGGUACUGGCAUAUUAUUGGGCCUGAUAUUUCUACUUACUAUUUAUCUGUCCUGAAUGAUGAAUCUAAAUAAGGAGAGAUUAAUAAAACCUGUAUUGUUUUGAUUCCAAAAGCUAAGAAACCAAAAAAUCUCUCACAAUUUCGACCUAUAAGUCUUUGUAACAUAGUUUACAAAAUUAUUGCGAAAGUCUUGGUGGAUCAUAUGAGUGCAAUUUUGGGAAGUUGUAUAAAUGAAGCUCAAAGGGCUUUCAUCCCAAGAAGACAUAUUUCAGAUAAUGUGUUAAUUGUUUACGAAAUCCUUCAUUCUUUUAAAAUAAAGAAGAAAGGAAAAAAAAGGGAAUUUUACGCUUAAGCUCGAUAUGAGUAAAGUGUACGAUCAUGUUGAGUAAGAUUUUUUGGCUUGAAUGAUGACUUGUUUGGGUUUUCAUGCUGAUUGGGUUGUCCUCAUUAUGAGAUGUGUUUGUUCUAUCUCUUAUUCUGUGAGUCUUAAUGGGGCUAAUAGUGAGUGGUUCUCACCUUCGCGAGGUUUAAGAUAGGGCGAUCCACUCAGCCCUUAUCUUUUUUUAAUUUGUGCUGAGGGUUUUUCUACACUGCUUAAUGAAGCUAAACAUAAAGGGCUGAUGCGGGGUGCUCCUAUUGGAAAGGAAAGAUUUUCGAUUAAUUACUUGUUUUUCGCGGAUGACUACAUUCUUUUUGGGGACGCUUUAAGUGAGGGAGCUAGUGUGGUUUGAAAUAUUAUUCGGGAGUAUGAGAUGGUUUCGGGACAACGAGUGAACUUUGAUAAAUCUCUUAUGUACUUUGAGGUUAAUGUGGAAUCUAAUGUCAGGGAGACUAGAACCAACCUAUUGGGAGUUCAGGUGGCUUCAAAUCCUAAGAAUUAUUUAGGUGUACCAAUGAUGGUUGGACAGAAAAAGACAUGGGCUUUUGCUAACUUUGUUGAUCGGUUCAGGAAAAGAAUUGAUGGAUGGAGCUUGCGCUAUCUCUCAAUGGGGGGCAAGGAGGUUUUCAUUAAGUCGGUUUUACAGGCUAUACCAGUUUAUGUUAUGCAAUGUUUUACUUUGCCGAAAUCUUUAUGUCACAAGUUAGAAGGCAUAAUGAACAAAUUCUAGUUGUCUAAUAAUAAAUCUGCUAAAGGUAUUCAUUGGAGUAAUUAGGAUGCUUUGUGUAAACUGAAAUGUGUUGGUGGGCUGGGAUUUAAAAAUCUAUUUUUGUUUAAUAAGACAUUAUUAGCAAAACAAGUUUAACGUCUUUUAUCCCAACCUAAAUGCCUUUUAGCUAAAGUUUUAAAAGCCCGAUAUUAUCCCUUUUUUCAGAUAUCUUAUCAGCAAAGAUUGGUUCUUACCCAUCGUUUACCUGGAGAAGCAUUUAAGCGCUCGGGAUUUGAUUGUAGAGGGGAUACUUUGGCCUAUUGGCAAUGGUGUUCGUGUUAAUAUAUGGGAUGAUCAUUGGCUGCCUGGUUUAGGAAAUAUCAGAUUAUUAGUUAAGGAAAUUAAGCCUACUUGGACGAUUGUGAAUCAAUUAAUUGAGGUUGAGACUAAUACUUGGAACAAGGAUCUUGUUUGCAGUAUUGUUGAUAAUGAUCAAGCAACUUGUAUUUUCUUCAUUUCGAUUUCUGGUGCUAGAUCGAAAGAUAUGCUAGCCUGAAAACAUGAAGGCACUAGGGAGUACUCAGUGAAAAGUGGGUAUCGGGUCCUAGUUACAGAACAUCUAUAGAAUACUAAUUACAACUUCCCUAAUGCAGAAAACUACAAGGAUUUCUACAAAUCCUUUUGGUCUAUGCACAUCCUAGCUAAAAUAAAAAUACACAUAUGAAGGUUGUCUAAUAAUCUUGUGCCUCACUUCUGUAAUCUGUUUCAAAGGACUUUAAGUGUGGAUGUCAUCUGUCCUUUUUGCAAGGAAGCUUCAGAGGACUCUGACCAUUUGAUGUGGUCUUAUGGAAUAUUACAGUACGUUUGGGCUUCUCUUCAAAUCACGCCUGCUCUAGUCGAGUGUACCUCGAGUUGCAAAACUCGAUUUGUUAACACUUUCUCUGCAGUAGAUGAACACAACAGAUAGAUUAUUGCUAUUUCUUUAUGGGCCCUAUGGUAUCGAAGAAACAAACUUUUUCAUGAAGGUGUUAAGUUUUCUUUGCAGGAACUGUUACGAUUCAUUCAAUGCUACAAUCAAGAGAUAAGUUCAAGCCAUGAAAAACUCCAAGUUUUUUUCUAGAUCACUAUUGAAGGAGCUAUGGAGUCCCCCAAACAUCGGUAUUAUUAAGCUUUUGACGUGUCCUUUCAAAGUGACUUUAGAACCUCUAUUGCAGCAGUAUUAGCUAGAAAUUCUUAAGGUGAAAUUAUAGGGGUGUGUACUUAUCUUUUUGAAGAUGUUGUCGAUGCCUUUGUGGUUGAAGCAAGGGUAUGCGAAAGGGCUAUGAUUUUUGCGUCUGAAAUGGGUUUUCUGCGUCUUCUCUUGGAAGGGGACUCUCUGUCGGUAAUCAAAAAACUCAAGACAAAAGGGGAAGAUAAAUUGAUUCUCAGACUGAUUAUGCACCAUAUUCGUACAAUUGAAAAUAACUUCGAAGAAGCCUCUUACCUUUUUGUUCCUCGAACGGUUAAUAGAAUGGUCAUACCUUGGCUUUGGAAGAAAGGAGACGACAAAUCCCUUGCGUCUGGAUAGAUAGAGCUCCAAAAUCGGUGAGGACGACGGCGGAUAAGGAUCAGAUGGCUUGGAUUCAGAAUCGCCAAGCUUCUUUUUAGAAUCGCUUUGAAUAGGAAGAAGGUUCAAAGAAUCUCCAUCGAUGGGUUCAGAGCUUUUUACUUUUCUUCAGUUUGCUCAUCUCAAUUAUGCUUUUUGCAUUUAUGGAUUUUGUUGUUUUCUAUGUGCGAUUUUAUGACUUGGCUAUUGGCCUGCUGCGUUUUGUCUUUUCAUUUUUUCCUGUUUGUUGAGACUCUAUUUACACCACCUUGAGCCGUGUGCCUUGUGAUGGAUAUCAGUCACUUUUUGCAAAAAAAAAAAAACUUUAAAAGAUUUAUCACUUAAUAUCAACUUAAAAUAAAUUUUUAAA
rnacentral:lncRNA from 1 species